rnacentral:rRNA from 1 species
GACGACGCUGGCGGCGUGCCUAAUACAUGCAAGUCGAACGAGUGGCGGACGGGUGAGUAACACGUGGGAACCUACCCAUCAGAGGGGGAUAACUACUGGAAACGGUAGCUAAUACCGCAUACCAUCGGAUGUUCCCAGAUGGGAUUGGCUAGUAGGUGGGGGAAAGGCUCACCUAGGCGACGAUCCCUAGCUGGUCUGAGAGGAUGACCAGCCACACUGGAACUGAGACACGUUCCAGACUCCUACGGUAGGCAGCAGUGGGGAAUAUUGCACAAUGGUCGCAAGCCUGAUGCAGCCAUGCCGCGUGUAUGAAGAAGGCUUUCGGGUUGUAAAGUACUUUCAGCGGGGAGGCGUUACCCGCAGAAGAAGCACCGGCUAACGCCUUGCCAGCAGCCGCGGUAAUUC